GAACAGCAAAGCCGCGACCGCCAACGGUCGCGCGAUACGCCCCAAACCUUGCCCCUUCAACAUUUCCUCACGUCCGGAAUUGAACUGAUCUCGUCGGAUAACCGGGUGAGUCCGCAUUUGUUCCAGCAAUGCCGGAGUGGCGAGCGGAUCAGCUCGUACCGGGUUUUCCGCGCCGCGAGAGUCCCAGAUUGCGCUUCGCUCCAUCCGAGCUACGCGUUAGGCCGCGCCGCGGACGCCGACAUUCCAUU
rnacentral:misc_RNA from 1 species